rnacentral:rRNA from 1 species
UACAGAGGUGGCAAGCGUUGUUCGGAAUUACUGGGCGUAAAGGGCGCGUAGGCGGCUUGGUCAGUCCCGUGUGAAAUCCCUCGGCUCAACUGAGGAACUGCACGGGAAACUGCCUGGCUUGAGUUCGGGAGAGGGAAGCGGAAUUCCGGGUGUAGCGGUGAAAUGCGUAGAUAUCUGGAGGAACACCGGUGGCGAAGGCGGCGUUCUGGACUGUUACUGACACUGAGGAACGAAAGCCAGGGGAGCAAACGGG